rnacentral:rRNA from 1 species
GACGAACGCUGGCGGCGUGCUUAACACAUGCAAGUCGAACGCUGAAGCACAGCUUUUGUUGGGUGGAUGAGUGGCGAACGGGUGAGUAACACGUGAGUAACCUGCUCCCUUCUUUGGGAUAACGCCCGGAAACGGGUGCUAAUACUGGAUAUUCACUGGUCUUCGCAUGGGGGUUGGUGGAAAGGGUUUUUCUGGUGGGGGAUGGGCUCGCGGCCUAUCAGCUUGGUGGUGGGGUGAUAGCCUACCAAGGCUUUGACGGGUAGCCGGCCUGAGAGGGUGACCGGUAACAUUGGGACGGAGAUACGGCCCAGGCUCCUACGGGAGGGAGCAGUGGGGAAUAUUGCACAAUGGGCGCAAGCCUGAUGCAGCGACGCCGCGUGAGGGAUGGAGGCCUUCGGGUUGUGAACCUCUUUCGGACAUGGUGAAGCCGCAACAAUGGUUGUGGUGAGGGUAGUGGGUAAAGAAGCGCCGGCUAACUACGUG